rnacentral:lncRNA from 1 species
GCCAUUAAACCCACUCGGACAUCAGACAUUAGUUUACGCACCUAUAUAUCUUGUUUUGGAGAAAACUAAUACAUCAGUCAACAAGAAACAAAUACCUAAGUGAAAGAUUGCCUGUAAAGUAAUCUCGUGAAGAGGUAAUAUGGACCAUUAGAAGGAGCAAUAGGCUGGAUCUAAGGUAAUAUGGACCAUUAGAAAGAGCAAUAGGCUGGAUCUCAUAAUAAGGACGAUAAUCAAAUAGCGGACACAACAAAGUCAAAAAGCCUAGAAUAAGCGGUAAGUAUCUAAAAGGGCUUGGAGAAGACAACUCGCACCUCAACCAAUAAAAUGGGGAAUCGUUAUUCACCCGAUGAAUAAACUGCUUAAGAAAGAACUCACGAUACAUGAUAGGAGCUCUAACCCUACCUAAUAAGAAUAAGGGGUUGUUUCAAUCCGCAUUCAAAAGGAGUCAUUUCGAAAAGCACUGUUAUUACACAAUGGAUUCAUUUCUCCUACUUUAUGCCGGAGUUAAGACAGCCUCCUUCCUAUUGGACAAUAGAUGAUGAUUGAACUCGCCCCCCGUAAAGUAUACCAGAGCACCAACUAUUCUGAAUUUCCAAUCCAAAGGAAGUGCUAGGAAUAAGGUCCCAGAUCCACAUAAUACGGUGGGUGCGAAUAAGAAAGAAGUGGGUGUGUGAAGAAAGUGGAUAAGAAGAAGAAAUUCCAGAAGUCAUGUUACCUGGAUGAGCUAAGGUAGCUCUAAGAAGUGGACAUCCGCUGUGUCUGCUGGAUUAAGGCAGAAUACUAUUCCCGUGAAAGAGGAUUCAUUGGCAGAAACACUUUCAGAAGCCCUAGAAAUAACGGAAUCGCUUGUUCAUUAAUGCCCUUAGAAGGAAUCAUUUAAUGCCCUGUUAGAAGGAAUCAUUGGAAAAAAGGAGGAGACGCAGAUCCGCCGGGGUUCUUUCCAUAUAUAUAUAUAAAUAGUAAACCAAAGGGAAUGAGUUCACCAAAUAGACCGUUCGUAUAGACAUUUACUCGGCUUGGAUCGAUAACAAAAACAUAGAAAGCCUUAGUAAGGAACUGAUAUUGUGUUUUCAAAAGCACUAAAACUAGAUGCACUCAUUUAUUAUGUGCUUUAUAGGCUUUCUUCGGAGCCCAGAAUUGAUGCUUAUUAGAGAAAUUACCACCCUACGUAAUAAGUUCCAUGUGUAUGUGCACACUUAAAGCUCGCCCCUUUAAAGGGUUUAGGAGGAAUAUAAGUCAUUGCUUAUGUAUCCUUUAUUUGGAGACCUAAUGUCUGAGAUCAACGAGAACCACCUAUGAUUCUUUAUCAACCCAUCAGAUGCUAAUAAUGAAAAACUAAUGCUUUAGAAGCUGUCCUAUUAGCUAUUCUAGCCACCUAUUGUAUAUUUCAUACUUGGGAAAUGCUGUCCAAUCUGGGUCUUGAGUUCGGUAGUUCAGCCCUUUAAAAGCCACAGAGCUAUAGGUAGAAAANNNN